GAGAGGUAAACGAGCGAACAAGAAUGGAGGGUAGGCGAGUGAGAAGGUUCAAUAUGGGAAGAGCAAGAGGACAACACCCACAAACUCAGACCCAUCACAGUCUUCUACCCAUUCACUCCCAUUCAAACCCAUCAUCUCCUUCUCGUCUUUCAACCACCAUCUCUUGUUGCUACUGCGAUUUCAAGUUCUGGGCUUUCAACCAACCCCUCUUCCAUUUCGGGAGAAGCCACUCCCAAAUUCUCAGGGCAUGGUUCUCCAUUGGGGUCGGCUUUGGUCUGACCCUGCUCUUCUCCAUUUCUCUCAUCCUUAUCUGGGAACUCGGCAGAGCUCUCAAUCUCUUCCAUGGAAGCUUCUUCAUUAACUUGUUCUCUACAUUUUCCUCCUCCUUCAGCACCUCAGUCGCCGACGUUGCCUGUAUCUUCGUUGCCACAAUGGUUUCAGUUUCUGUUCAUGAACUGGGUCAUGCUCUCGCUGCUGCAAGUGAGUUCGUGCAAAUGGAGUAUGUUGCCGUGUUUGUUGCGUUUCUGUUUCCUGGUGCGCUGGUAGCUUUCGAUUCUGAGUCUCUGCAACCAUUGUCUUGUUUUGGUGCUCUUCGGAUUUAUUGUGCUGGAAUUUGGCACAACGCAGUGUGCUGUGCAGUUUGUGGGCUGGCAUUACUUCUCCUGCCCUUCAUCUUGUUUCCAUUCUACAUACAUGGUGAAAGUCCCAUGGUUUUGGGUGUACCAUCUACGUCGCCUUUGUCCGGUUACUUGUCUCCUGGCGAUGUAAUUGUGUCAGUUGAUGGUGUGCCCAUCCAUAAUGUCCAGGAAUGGAUGGAGAUGACAGCUCUGAUAAAUGAAUUGGCACUUAGAGGAAGAAACCAUUCCCUAGAUGUCCAAGGCUUUGGAAUCAAUAGAAUAAAAGGGUACUGUGUGCCUAACUCUAUGAUGGAGGAAAGUAAGCAGAUUAUAGGAGAUAACCAGUCUUCUUGUCCUGAUGAUCUUACUGCAUUUACACCUCUUCCCUGUGAUCAUACAAGCAUAUUAGAUCAUAUUCAUCCAAGCAGAAUUGAGAAAGCCCACUGCUUGAAUGCGAAGAAUGUUGUCAAGCUUAAUAAAUGUGGUGAAGGAUGGGCGGCAAUAACCAAUGGCAGCAACUGCAUAUGUUCACAGGAGGAGUCCUGCUUAAGUCCAGUUCAAAUUCCAGGCUUAAUAUGGGUUGAGAUCACCUAUUCAAGGCCCUAUUAUCUGGAAUGCUUGCGAGUUAGAAGAAAAUCUUUUGUGGGUCCAAGAAUUUCUGAUUCCAUGGAAUCUAACUGCGGUGGGACUUUUGUCUUUGUUGGUGAUGUUAUCUCCAUGGCACGCUCAGUUAAGUUAACUGCAUAUCAACCUCGCUGGGCAUUUCCAUUGGGUACAUAUCUUCCAAAUGUCCUAGAAAGGAUUUUGAUAUGCACAUUCCAAGUCUCUCUAACACUAGCUCUUCUCAACAGUUUGCCGGUGUACUUUCUGGAUGGAGAAUCAAUUUUAGAGGCGACUCUUUCCCACUUCGCUUUGCUGUGCCCAAGGAAGAGAAGGAAAGUUCUUCAAGUUUGCCUUUUAUGGGGGACACUCAUUUCCAUCCUCGCCUUCUUCAGGAUCAUGUUAUAUACUUUUGACCUUUGCUCCUAGACAAAGCAGCCUCACUACAAAGCUCACUGUUUAGCAGGUAUUGUGCAUUAUUGUUGUACAACAUAAAACACUUUUUAUCCGACAUCACUCGCUCUUUAGAUUCAUUACCUAGAAAGCAGUGGUAUUACAGCUGAGCUUCAGAAUAUGAGAAGCAGUGUUAUCGAAGCUGACCUUGCAGUAUGAAUAGGGAGGAGCGUCAAGCCAUCAGCUGCCUCGUUACUAGAAUGAAGAACCCUGAACUUGAACAAAUCUGUUUGCUACUGUCUACCUCCACAUUCUGGUAUCAAUUUCAAUUCCCUGACGCACAAACCUCAAAUUGGUGGGAAAGCCCAAGUUUAUUCCAUGCAUGGCUUCUGUUUCUGUUUCAUCAAGGGCCUUCGAAGGGGUUGGAUUGGGCCAUUUCUGAAAUGAUUUGAGCUUUUGAUGACAAGUGGGAUGUGCUCAAACAGAUUUCUUGAUUUGGGCAAGUGUUUUCUUUUAAAACUUUUUUUAUAUAUUUCUUUUUGUAUUAUUUUUUUUGUAGCAUCCAUGGGUUAGGUAGGAAGACUUCAAUAUUGUACAUUCAAGACCAUCAUAUUGCUUCAUAUGUCAUGAUGUUAUUCAUCAAAACAGAAAACAAGUAAGAGAAA